AGAGUUUGAUCAUGGCUCAGGACGAACGCUGGCGGCGUGCUUAACACAUGCAAGUCGAGCGGAAAGGCCCUUCGGGGUACUCGAGCGGCGAACGGGUGAGUAACACGUGAGGAACCUGCCCUGGACUUUGGGAUAACCCUCGGAAACGGGGGCUAAUACCGAAUACGACACUUCACCGCAUGGUGUGGGUGUGGAAAGUUUUUCGGUCUGGGAUGGUCUCGCGGCCUAUCAGCUUGUUGGUGGGGUAAUGGCCUACCAAGGCGACGACGGGUAGCCGGCCUGAGAGGGCGACCGGCCACACUGGGACUGAGACACGGCCCAGACUCCUACGGGAGGCAGCAGUGGGGAAUAUUGCACAAUGGGCGGAAGCCUGAUGCAGCGACGCCGCGUGAGGGAUGACGGCCUUCGGGUUGUAAACCUCUUUCAGCAGGGACGAAGCGAAAGUGACGGUACCUGCAGAAGAAGCGCCGGCCAACUACGUGCCAGCAGCCGCGGUAAGACGUAGGGCGCGAGCGUUGUCCGGAUUUAUUGGGCGUAAAGAGCUCGUAGGCGGCUUGUCGCGUCGACUGUGAAAACCCGCGGCUCAACUGCGGGCCUGCAGCCGAUACGGGCAGGCUAGAGUUCGGUAGGGGAGACUGGAAUUCCUGGUGUAGCGGUGAAAUGCGCAGAUAUCAGGAGGAACACCGGUGGCGAAGGCGGGUCUCUGGGCCGAUACUGACGCUGAGGAGCGAAAGCGUGGGGAGCGAACAGGAUUAGAUACCCUAGUAGUCC
rnacentral:rRNA from 1 species